rnacentral:tRNA from 1 species
AGUCUUAUAGUCAUAAAAAUGAUACUAAAUUGCAAAUUUAGAGGAAAAUUUAAAUUUUAAGGCUU